rnacentral:tRNA from 1 species
GCCUGGGUGGCUGAGUCGGUUAAGCGUCCGACUGGUUCAGGUCAUGAUCUCACAGUUCGUGCACAGCUCGUAGGUUCGAGCCCUGCUUCUGGCU